UUUCUUGUCGGGUCAGUAUCAAAAAACGCCAGGUAGGUUUUUUUAUUUUUAAAAUCAAACGUCAUCGGGUGGGCACCACCGUCGUUCCAGGACGAUAAUAUUAUAAUGCAUUGUUUUCGACACGAUCCAUAUAUGUUCGGUGUAGUUUCGCCGAACCAGGUACGCAAGUAGAAAAGGAUUUCUGUGGAAGGGGAUUCAACCUUCACUGCAGGUCUACGCGUGUCUGCGUCGAACUAUUUCCCCAAGUUCAUGGUUUUUUAGAAGUUCAAAAAUAUAACGACUUCAACUAAGUAUAUAAUAGCAUUCAAAUUCAAACAAAAUUACCGAAGUGCAACAAAGUCAUAAAAAAAUAAGAGCGUUCGUGAUAAAUGGAAAUGAUUGACACCACUAUCUAUUGUAAAAUGGAAUUAA